rnacentral:rRNA from 1 species
CCUACGGGUGGCUGCAGUGAGGAAUAUUGGUCAAUGGGCGGAAUCCUGAACCAGCCAUGCCGCGUGCAGGACGACUGCUCUACGAGUUGUAAACUUCUUUUGUACCGGAGUAAAGUGCUCUACGAGUAGGGUUUUGAAAGUACGGUACGAAUAAGGAUCGGCUAACUCCGUGCCAGCAGCCGCGGUAAUACGGAGGAUCCGAGCGUUAUCCGGAUUCAUUGGGUUUAAAGGGUGCGUAGGUUGUUUUAUAAGUUAGCGGUGAAAUAUCGAUGCUCAACAUAGGGUCUGCCGUUGAUACUGUAGGACUAGAGAUCGGAUGAAGCAGGCGGAAUGUGUAGUGUAGCGGUGAAAUGCAUAGAUAUUACACAGAACACCGAUUGCGAAGGCAGCUUGCUAGGCCGGAUCUGACACUGAUGCACGAAAGUGUGGGGAUCGAACAGGAUUAGAUACCCUUGUAGUC